CACAGCCCUUAAUUUGUUGCAAUUUAGUGGAACAGCUUUUGGGUUUUAGGGUCAAGUCCUUCCAAACAUACAAAAUUGCAUUUCCACCCCUCACCUCAAGAUUUGGAGGGUAUUUUAGCAAUGUUUUUGGAAUUGAAAUUUAGGGUUUUGGUGUAGCUAGGUCUCUCUCACAGCUUCUAAAGAUCCAAUCUUUUUCCAUUGUGGAUAUCAAAUUCAAAGGAUCAGUUCAUCAAUCCAAUCCAUUAAUCACAUGGGUUUGUUGUAAAACACAAACUCAGUUGAUGCAACAUGCAGCUGAACUUUUUUUUUUUUUUUUCUUGAAAUUUUUAUGGAUUUGGGUUGUUCUUUGAUCUGAUCUUUACCUUUUUUUAUUUACCUAAUCUGUUGGCUCUUAUUUGUAGGUUAAUUGGAUGUAAUUAAAUCAUUUAAAUUAUUAAUUAAUGGAGAAACUGAAC